CUUUUUUUCAUUUAUUAUUUUUUUUUAACAUUUAGAAUUUCUUCUGAGUUUUAAGUUCUGUGAAUCUACAAUUCAGUAGUUUGUCUCUCUUCUGUUUCUUUUCUAGCUAGCCCCUUGCCUCUUAUCUAGAAGAGUUUGUGUGUUGUGUAUAAACCUAUUGAUCAAGAAAGUAUCCUGUUAGAAAAUCCCUGCAUCUACCUUAAGAGAAGAGCAUGCUGAGGGAGUGCAAACCUGCAAGGAUACACAGAUAAAAUAAUUCUACUUAGAAGUUUUUGUACAGAAUUGAUAAAGCAGAGAGAGACAUCCACGCAGUGGCUGCAACUGCUCGGUGAACUUCAGAAGAGGCGUGGGCCUUUUCACGAGGGAAAGAGAUGUUCUCUCCGGGCCUGAACCUAAGGGCCAUAAAACACUAGGUUUUAGAGAGGUGGCGAUUCCAGUAACCUGCAAAAAAAAUGAUCUGCUGUGCUCUCCAGAGGCAGAUUAUUGAACAGCUUUCCUUGCCUG
rnacentral:lncRNA from 1 species